rnacentral:misc_RNA from 1 species
GACGACAUCAGCCUGCUGAUGAGCUCCCACACGAAUUGCUUGAUUCAUGGUUGAAGACGACCAGCGCCCUGUAUAGGGCCAAUGUUGUGCCUGAUCAAACUCAGAAAUGAGCAUUCGCUUCGAAUGUUGAUUUCUGGCUUUUGUCAGAUCGUUCUUUAAAAAUUCGGAUAUGUGAUAGAUAUAGACUGAUGGCCAGUUUCACUGCUGGUUAAUCAGGCUAAGGUAAAAUUUGUGAGUUCUGCUCGAAAGAGCAACAUGCGAAUUUUCGGCGAAUGUCGUCUUCACAGUAUAACCAGAUUGCUUGGGGU